UACAGAGGGGGCAAGCGUUGUUCGGAAUUACUGGGCGUAAAGCGCGUGUAGGCGGCUGUUCAAGUUGGGCGUGAAAGCCUUGGGCUUAACCCAAGAAAUGCGCUCAAUACUGGAUAGCUAGAGGACCGGAGAGGAUAGUGGAAUUCCCAGUGUAGUGGUGAAAUACGUAGAGAUUGGGAAGAACACCAGUGGCGAAGGCGGCUAUCUGGACGGUUUCUGACGCUAAGACGCGAAAGCGUGGGGAGCAAACAGG
rnacentral:rRNA from 1 species